CGGGGAUUAGUGGCGAACGGGUGAGUAACACGUGAGUAACCUGCCCUUGACUCUGGGAUAAGCCUGGGAAACUGGGUCUAAUACCGGAUACGACCAUCUGACGCAUGUCAUGGUGGUGGAAAGCUUUUGCGGUUUUGGAUGGACUCGCGGCCUAUCAGCUUGUUGGUGGGGUAAUGGCCUACCAAGGCGACGACGGGUAGCCGGCCUGAGAGGGUGACCGGCCACACUGGGACUGAGACACGGCCCAGACUCCUACGGGAGGCAGCAGUGGGGAAUAUUGCACAAUGGGCGGAAGCCUGAUGCAGCGACGCCGCGUGAGGGAUGACGGCCUUCGGGUUGUAAACCUCUUUCAGUAGGGAAGAAGCGAAAGUGACGGUACCUGCAGAAGAAGCGCCGGCUAACUACGUGCCAGCAGCCGCGGUAAUACGUAGGGCGCAAGCGUUAUCCGGAAUUAUUGGGCGUAAAGAGCUCGUAGGCGGUUUGUCGCGUCUGCUGUGAAAGACCGGGGCUCAACUCCGGUUCUGCAGUGGGUACGGGCAGACUAGAGUGAUGUAGGGGAGACUGGAAUUCCUGGUNUAGCGGUGAAAUGCGCAGAUAUCAGGAGGAACACCGAUGGCGAAGGCAGGUCUCUGGGCAUUAACUGACGCUGAGGAGCGAAAGCAUGGGGAGCGAACAGGAUUAGAUACCCUGGUAGUCCAUGCCGUAAACGUUGGGCACUAGGUNUGGGGGACAUUCCACGUUUUCCGCGCCGUAGCUCACGCAUUAAGUGCCCCGCCUGGGAGUACGGCC
rnacentral:rRNA from 1 species